UACAGAGGGGGCCAGCGUUAUUCGGAAUUAUUGGGCGUAAAGGGCGCGUAGGCGGCCUUGCGUGUCUUUCGUGAAAUCCCUCGGCUUAACUGAGGACGUGCGGAAGAAACUGCAGGGCUUGAGUCCGGGAGAGGGGGGUGGAAUUCCCAGUGUAGCGGUGAAAUGCGUAGAUAUUGGGAGGAACACCGGUGGCGAAGGCGGCCCCCUGGACCGGUACUGACGCUCAUGCACGAAAGCGUGGGGAGCAAACAGG
rnacentral:rRNA from 1 species